rnacentral:rRNA from 1 species
GACGGAGGGUGCAAGCGUUGCUCGGAAUCACUGGGCGUAAAGGGCUCGUAGGCGGCCAACUAAGUCAGACGUGAAAUCCCUCGGCUUAACCGGGGAACUGCGUCUGAUACUGGAUGGCUUGAGGUUGGGAGAGGGAUGCGGAAUUCCAGGUGUAGCGGUGAAAUGCGUAGAUAUCUGGAGGAACACCGGUGGCGAAGGCGGCAUCCUGGACCAAUUCUGACGCUGAGGAGCGAAAGCCAGGGGAGCAAACGGG